UCAUGGUAUUUACUGGUUUGGGGUAA
rnacentral:piRNA from 1 species